GAGAGUCAACAAAACUCCAGCACGCUUGUUUCAGCUAAGACCAAGGAGUUUGCGAAGGUCCUUCUUCAGUCAGCCAGAAUGCUGUUUAGCUCCGAUAACAAAGAUGUGUGGGACGUCGUUCAACAGGUAAUAAUUAUUGGAUCAAUAUCUGAGCACUUACCCUUCCCCCGACCCAAGAACGGUCAACUAAUAACAAGUUAGUGUUGUUUUCUGGCUAAGGGAAGGGUAGGUGCGCAGUUGCGUAGGUACUGACCUUGAUCCGAAUUAUUUUUAAUGUUGUUGUUGUUGUUUUUUUUUGCAAGUGAUUCACGGUCGAUUUGUCGCCGGUUUUUAUCUCACUAUGCUCUCCAAUUGGUCUGUGAAACUCGCGCCUUUUCAUCUAGUCACUUUACUGCAAACAGAAGCCAAUAACGAGGUGUUAACUGUGAUCAUCACGCUUACUCAAAAAGCACGCUACUACUAAGAUGUAUUCAGAUGUCUGUGGUCAUCGCAGUAAUCUUUAGUUUUAAUUUUUUCCGCUUUGGCUCCAGUUUUCAAAAAUAAUAUCAACGUUCGUUCUGUUGACUUGCACAAACCGUUGACAUGCUCAAUCCGUAGCAAACGUGGGCGAACGUUAGCUACCAAGACGCAAGUAUUAAUAGCUGAUUGUGAUAGUGUAUGAAAAGCACACAAAAUUUUUCUUUAAAUUCAUUUGAAUAUUGCUCCUAGAAACAAAUGACCAGUGGAUUGUGACCUCCUUGUUUAUAUUGACACGAGC